AACCUAGCACACCUGCGGUGUGUACCUGCGGAGGGAUCAUUACAGAGUGUAAAAACUCCCAAAACCCAUGUGAACAUACCUUUUUGUUGCUUCGGCGGGAUCGCCCCGGGCGCCUUGUGUGCCCCGGAGUCAGGCGCCCGCCGGGGGACCCAAACUCUUGUUUUUAACGAGUAUCUUCUGAGUAACGUUUUUAAAUAAAUAAAAACUUUCAACAACGGAUCUCAGAUCGGAAGAGCACAC
rnacentral:misc_RNA from 1 species